rnacentral:rRNA from 1 species
CGGGUUCCCGCGGUGUCUUAUCUAUCUGUAAGCUCAGAGCGAACAGCACAAGGAGCUUGCUCCUUUGACGUUAGCGGCGGACGGGUGAGUAACACGUGGGUAACCUACCUAUAAGACUGGGAUAACUUCGGGAAACCGGAGCUAAUACCGGAUAAUAUUUCGAACCGCAUGGUUCGAUAGUGAAAGAUGGUUUUGCUAUCACUUAUAGAUGGACCCGCGCCGUAUUAGCUAGUUGGUAAGGUAACGGCUUACCAAGGCGACGAUACGUAGCCGACCUGAGAGGGUGAUCGGCCACACUGGAACUGAGACACGGUCCAGACUCCUACGGGAGGCAGCAGUAGGGAAUCUUCCGCAAUGGGCGAAAGCCUGACGGAGCAACGCCGCGUGAGUGAUGAAGGUCUUCGGAUCGUAAAACUCUGUUAUUAGGGAAGAACAUACGUGUAAGUAACUAUGCACGUCUUGACGGUACCUAAUCAGAAAGCCACGGCUAACUACGUGCCAGCAGCCGCGGUAAUACGUAGGUGGCAAGCGUUAUCCGGAAUUAUUGGGCGUAAAGCGCGCGUAGGCGGUUUUUUAAGUCUGAUGUGAAAGCCCACGGCUCAACCGUGGAGGGUCAUUGGAAACUGGAAAACUUGAGUGCAGAAGAGGAAAGUGGAAUUCCAUGUGUAGCGGUGAAAUGCGCAGAGAUAUGGAGGAACACCAGUGGCGAAGGCGACUUUCUGGUCUGUAACUGACGCUGAUGUGCGAAAGCGUGGGGAUCAAACAGGAUUAGAUACCCUGGUAGUCCACGCCGUAAACGAUGAGUGCUAAGUGUUAGGGGGGUUCCCGCCCCUUAGUGCUGCAGCUAACGCAUUAAGCACUCCGCCUGGGGAGUACGACCGCAAGGUUGAAACUCAAGGAAUUGACGGGGGACCCGCACAGCGGGUGGAGCAUGGUGUUUAAUUCGAAGCAACGCGAAGGACCCUUACCAAAUUCUUGGACAUCCUUUGACACUUCUAGAGAUAGAGCCUUUCCCCUUCGGGGGACAAAGUGACAAGGUGGUGCAUGUUGUCGUCACCUCGUGUCUGAGAAUGGUGGGUUUAGUCCCGGCACGAGCGCAACCUUAAGCUUAGUUGCAUCUUUAAGUUGGGCACCUCAAGUUGACUGGCCGGGACCAACCUGGAGAGGGGGAUAGCCUCUAAUCCAUCAUGGGCCUUAGAUUGGCUACAGUGUCUAAUUGCACAAACAAGUGUCCGCGAAGCGCCGA